rfam:TPA: Bos taurus chromosome 15, whole genome shotgun sequence.
UCCCUGGUGGUUCAGCAGUAAAGAAUCUGCCUGCAGUGCAGGAGACCCAGGUUCAAUCCCUGGCUCAGGAA